AGAACGAACGCUGGCGGCAUGCCUAAUACAUGCAAGUCGAACGAACUCUUCGGAGUUAGUGGCGCACGGGUGCGUAACGCGUGGGAAUCUGCCCUUGGGUUCGGAAUAACAGUUGGAAACGACUGCUAAUACCGGAUGAUGACGAAAGUCCAAAGAUUUAUCGCCCAGGGAUGAGCCCGCGUAGGAUUAGCUAGUUGGUGAGGUAAAGGCUCACCAAGGCGACGAUCCUUAGCUGGUCUGAGAGGAUGAUCAGCCACACGUGGGACUGAGACACGGCCCAGACUCCGUACGGGAGGCAGCAGUAGGGAAUAGUUGGAC
rnacentral:rRNA from 1 species